CUACAUGAAGCUGGAAUCGCUAGUAAUCGCAGAUCAGAAUGCUGCGGUGAAUACGUUCCCGGGUCUUGUACACACCGCCCGUCACACCAUGGGAGUUGGAAAUGCCCGAAGCCAGUGACCCAACCGUAAGGAGGGAGCUGUCGAAGGUGGAGCCGAUAGACUGGGGUGAAGUCGUAACAAGGUAUC
rnacentral:rRNA from 1 species